AGCGAACGCUGGCGGCAGGCCUAACACAUGCAAGUCGAACGAACCUUUCGGGGUUAGUGUCGGACGGGUGAGUAACCCAUUGGAACGUGCCUUUAGGUUCGGAAUAACUUAGGGACACUUGUGCUAAUACCGAAUGUGCCCUUCGGGGGAAAGAUUUAUCGCCUUUAGAGCGGCCCGCGUCUGAUUAGCUAGUUGGUUGAGGUAAUGGCUCACCAAGGCGACGAUCAGUAGCUGGUCUGAGAGGAUGAUCAGCCACAUUGGGACUGAGACACGGCCCAAACUCAUACGGGAGGCAGCAGUGGGGAAUCUUGCGCAAUGGGCGAAAGCCUGACGCAGCCAUGCCGCGUGAAUGAUGAAGGUCUUAGGAUUGUAAAAUUCUUUCACCGGGGACGAUAAUGACGGUACCCGGAGAAGAAGCCCCGGCUAACUUCGUG
rnacentral:rRNA from 1 species